rnacentral:rRNA from 1 species
AUUGAACGCUGGCGGCAUGCCUAACACAUGCAAGUCGGGCGAGAGGAGGACGGGUGAACAAUGUAUUGGGAUCUGCCUGAUGGCGGGGGAUAACGACUGUAAACGGUAGCUAAUACCGCAUACCAUCAGAUGAACCCAUAUGGGAUUAGCUUGUAGGUGAGGUAACGGCUCACCUAGGCGACGAUCCCUAGCUGGGCUGAGAGGAUGAUCAGCCACACUGGGACUGAGACACGGCCCAGACUCCUACGGGAGGCAGCAGUGGGGAAUAUUGCACAAUGGACGCAAGCCUGAUGCAGCCAUGCCGCGUGUAUGAAGAAGGUCUUAGGGUUGUAAAGCUCUUUCAGCGGGGAGGCGUUACCUGACGAAGAAGCAACGGCUAACUCCGUGCCAGCAGCCGCGGUAAUUC